GAUAAGAUUCUCUAAGUUGCAUAAUUAAGGAGAGGAUAAGAUUUGCAAGUGGUUUUACAAUUGGUGAUUAAAAUAUUAAUAAAAUAAUAUUAAAACAAUAAAUAAUAUUAAAAAAAUAAUUUGAAUAGUAAAAUUUUUUAACUAUAAAUAGCCAUAAGGGGGAUGGCUAAAAUUUACACCAAAAACUCUUAGAAUUUUGAGAGAAAGAGAUAGUGAGAGGAAAUUCUGUUGGAAAGNGGAGACUCUGGAAGAUUCUAAAACAAGUUCUGAGCAAGAGAUUAAGUCUGGGAUAGAGACGAGGGAGCGACGUCUGAACCAACACCAGUGAAGAUAGAGGCGGGAGAAUUGUAGAGUAGAGAUCGAGUUAAUCAAUGACGUGUGAAGUUGAUAUAUAUAAAAAAAAA